rnacentral:rRNA from 1 species
CCUACGGGUGGCAGCAGUGAGGAAUAUUGGUCAAUGGUCGCGAGCCUGAACCAGCCAAGUAGCGUGAAGGAGGACUGCCCUACGGGUUGUAAACUUCUUUUAUAAAGGAAUAAGGAGAGGCACGUGUGCCUGUUUGUGUGUACUUGAUGAAUAAGGAUCGGCUAACUCCGUGCCAGCAGCCGCGGUAAUACGGAGGAUUCGAGCGUUAUCCGGAUUUAUUGGGUUUAAAGGGUGCGGAGGUGGUGUGUUAAGUCAGUUGUGAAAGUUUGGGGCUCAACCGUCAACUUGCAAUUGAUACUGGCAGUCUUGAGUAGAGUUGAGGUAGGCGGAAUUCGUGGUGUAGCGGUGAAAUGCUUAGAUAUCACGAAGAACUCCGAUUGCGAAGGCAGCUUACUAACCUGACACUGACGUUGAUGCUCGAAAGUGUGGGUAUCAAACAGGAUUAGAUACCCCUGUAGUC